rnacentral:rRNA from 1 species
AUGGUUUUUUGGGCUAGAUAAGAAAUCUUGCCUGCUCACUGAAAGGGUUUAAGAGCUGCGGUAUUAUGACCGUACAAAGGUAGCACAAUCAUUAGUCUUUUGAUUGAGGACUGGAAUGAAGGGUUUUACGAAGGUGCACUGUCUUUCUGGUGUUAUGUUUGAUUGAAGUUGUCUUUUCUGUAAAAAGACAGAAAUGGGAGCAAGGGACAAGAAGACCCUUUUAAAGUUUAUUUGGUGUGGAAUAUUUGUGAUAAAGAUGUAAGGGGUAUUUUAAUACUAGGUUUUGCUGGGGCGGCGGGCAUAAAAUAAAAGCUAUGUAUUAAUAACUUUUAUUGGUAAAUUUGUAUGUGAGCCUGAAAAGAAGGCUGUAAGAAAAAGUUACUGAAGGGAUAACAGCGUAAUGAGGCUUGAGAGUUCAUAUUGACAGUUAAGUUUGCGA